rnacentral:rRNA from 1 species
AAAGAAACCAACAGGGAUUGCCUUAGUAACGGCGAGUGAAGCGGCAACAGCUCAAAUUUGAAAGCUGGCCCUUUUAGGGUCCGCAUUGUAAUUUGUAGAGGAUGAUUCGGCGAGGGCUCCUGCCUAAGUCCCCUGGAACGGGGCGUCAUAGAGGGUGAGAAUCCCGUAUGCGGUAGGUUGCCUUAGCCAUGUGAAUCUCCUUCGACGAGUCGAGUUGUUUGGGAAUGCAGCUCUAAAUGGGAGGUAAAUUUCUUCUAAAGCUAAAUACCGGCCAGAGACCGAUAGCGCACAAGUAGAGUGAUCGAAAGAUGAAAAGCACUUUGGAAAGAGAGUUAAAAAGUACGUGAAAUUGUUGAAAGGGAAGCGCUUGCAACCAGACUUGUCCGCAGUUGCUCAGCCGGUCUCCUGACCGGCGUACUCUUCUGCGGCCAGGCCAGCAUCAGUUCGGGCGGUCGGAUAAAGGCCUCGGGAAUGUGGCUCCUCUCGGGGAGUGUUAUAGCCCGGGGUGCAAUGCGGCCAGCCUGGACUGAGGAACUCGCUUCGGCAAGGAU